rnacentral:rRNA from 1 species
GACGAACGCUGGCGGCGUGCUUAACACAUGCAAGUCGAACGAAAAGCGACGGAAGCUUGCUUCUAUCAAUCUUAGUGGCGAACGGGUGAGUAACGCGUAAUCAACCUGCCCUUCAGAGGGGGACAACAGUUGGAAACGACUGCUAAUACCGCAUACGAUCUAACCUCGGCAUCGAGGAUAGAUUAAAGGUGGCCUCUACAUGUAAGCUAUCACUGAAGGAGGGGAUUGCGUCUGAUUAGCUAGUUGGAGGGGUAACGGCCCACCAAGGCGAUGAUCAGUAGCCGGUCUGAGAGGAUGAACGGCCACAUUGGGACUGAGACACGGCCCAGACUCCUACGGGAGGCAGCAGUGGGGAAUCUUCCGCAAUGGACGAAAGUCUGACGGAGCAACGCCGCGUGAGUGAUGACGGCCUUCGGGUUGUAAAGCUCUGUUAAUCGGGACGAAAGGCCUUCUUGCGAAUAGUGAGAAGGAUUGACGGUACCGGAAUAGAAAGCCACGGCUAACUACGUG